UACGUAGGGUGCGAGCGUUGCCCGGAUUUAUUGGGCGUAAAGGGCGCGUAGGCGGCCACGCACGUCCGUUGUGAAAUCGCCCGGCUCAACUGGGCGGGGUCAGCGGAUACGGUGUGGCUCGAGCAAGCUAGGGGGCAAUGGAAUUCCCGGUGUAGUGGUGGAAUGCGUAGAUAUCGGGAGGAACACCAGUGGCGAAGGCGGUUGCCUGGAGCUUUGCUGACGCUGAGGCGCGAAAGCCAGGGGAGCAAACGGG
rnacentral:rRNA from 1 species